rnacentral:rRNA from 1 species
UACGAAGGGGGCUAGCGUUGUUCGGAAUUACUGGGCGUAAAGCGCACGUAGGCUGAUUGUUAAGUCAGGGGUGAAAUCCCAGAGCUCAACUCUGGAACUGCCCUUGAUACUGGCAAUCUCGAGUCCGGAAGAGGUUAGUGGAAUUCCUAGUGUAGAGGUGAAAUUCGUAGAUAUUAGGAAGAACACCAGUGGCGAAGGCGGCUAACUGGUCCGGUACUGACGCUGAGGUGCGAAAGCGUGGGGAGCAAACAGG